rnacentral:ncRNA from 1 species
CGACACUCCGGAGAAUUCCAUCGUCAUAUGACAGAUGGAUGCCGAAGGUGCAAGCGCAGAUCGCGUCAAUCUCUCAGGCAAAAGGACGGAGAA